GCCUCAGUGGCGCAGUAGACUGUGCAUAAGUCUCGUAAUCUUAAGGUCGCGAGUUCGAUUCUCACCUGGGGCA